GGAUGAAUGCUGGCGACGUGCCUUAAGCAUGCAAGUCGAGCGAGAUGGUAGCAAUAUCAUCUAGCGGCGGACGGCUGAGUAACGCGUAGGAAUCUGCCUUAAAGUGCGGGAUACCUCCUCGAAAGAGGAGCUAAUACCGCAUGUGAACGAAAGUUUAAAGGAGCUAACCCUCCGCUUUAAGAUGAGCCUGCGUCCUAUCAGUUUGUUGGUGGGGUAAAAGCCUACCAAGACUAUGACGGGUAGGGGGUGUGAGAGCAUGGCCCCCCAGAAUGGAACUGAGACACGGUCCAUACACCUACGGGUGGCAGCAACUGGGAAUCUUCGACAAUGGGCGAAAGCCUGAUCGAGCGACGUCGCGUGGGGGAUGAAGGCCUUCGGGUUGUAAACUCCUUUUGCUAGAGAACAAUCUAAUUGAGUUAACCUAGCGAAUAAGCACCUGCAAACUACGUGCCAGCAGCAGCGGUGAUACGUAGGGUGCAAGCAUUAUCCGGAUUUAUUGGGCGUAAAGGGUUGCGUAGGUGGUUUAGUAAGUCUUUUCUUAAAGACCCUGGCUUAACUAGGGUACUGGAGCAGAUACUGCUAGACUUUGAAGAAGUGAGAGGUCAGCGGAACUUAUGGUGGAGCAGUGAAAUGCGUUGAGAUCAUAAUGAACACCGAUGGCGUAGGCAGCUGACUGGCACUUUCUUGACACUGAGGCACGAAAGCUAGGGGAGCGAAAGGGAUUAGAGACCCCUGUAGUCCUAGCCGUAAACGAUGGACACUAGAUGACGGGCCUUAUAAGUUCGUUGUCGCAAGCUAACGCGUUAAGUGUCCCGCCUGGGGAGUACGAACGCAAGUUUAAAACUCAAAGGAAUUGACGGGGGACCGCACAAGCGGUGGAGCAUGUGGUUUAAUUCGAUACAAAGCGAAAAACCUUACCUGGGUUUGAAAUGUACCUGCAAAUCCUACGAAAGUAGGACUUCUUCGAGAGUGGUACACAGAUGCUGCAUGGUUGUCGUCAGCUUGUACCGUGAGGCGCACCCUUAAGUGGGUCAACAAGCGCAACCCUUGCCAUUAGUUGCUAACAGGUUAAGCUGAGAACUCUAAUGGGACUGCCAUCGUAAGAUGCGAGGAAGGUGGGGAUGACGUCAAAUCAGCACGGCCCUUACGUCCGGGGCGACACACGUGUUACAAUGGGUGGUACAGAGGGUUGCUACCUGGUGACAGGAUGCUAAUCUCUUAAAUCCACUCUCAGUUCGGAUCGAAGUCUGCAACUCGACUUCGUGAAGCUGGAUUCGCUAGUAAUCGCGCAUCAGCCAUGGCGCGGUGAAUACGUUCCCGGGCCU
rnacentral:rRNA from 1 species